UCAGUGUGUGUGUUAGUGGAAGCGUCUGGAAAGGCGCGCGAUACAGGGUGACAGCCCCGUACACAAAAAUGCACAUGCUGUGAGCUCGAUGAGUAGGGCGGGACACGUGGUAUCCUGUCUGAAUAUGGGGGGACCAUCCUCCAAGGCUAAAUACUCCUGACUGACCGAUAGUGAACCAGUACCGUGAGGGAAAGGCGAAAAGAACCCCGGCGAGGGGAGUGAAAAAGAACCUGAAACCGUGUACGUACAAGCAGUGGGAGCACGCUUAGGCGUGUGACUGCGUACCUUUUGUAUAAUGGGUCAGCGACUUAUAUUCUGUAGCAAGGUUAACCGAAUAGGGGAGCCGAAGGGAAACCGAGUCUUAACUGGGCGUUAAGUUGCAGGGUAUAGACCCGAAACCCGGUGAUCUAGCCAUGGGCAGGUUGAAGGUUGGGUAACACUAACUGGAGGACCGAACCGACUAAUGUUGAAAAAUUAGCGGAUGACUUGUGGCUGGGGGUGAAAGGCCAAUCAAACCGGGAGAUAGCUGGUUCUCCCCGAAAGCUAUUUAGGUAGCGCCUCGUGAAUUCAUCUCCGGGGGUAGAGCACUGUUUCGGCAAGGGGGUCAUCCCGACUUACCAACCCGAUGCAAACUGCGAAUACCGGAGAAUGUUAUCACGGGAGACACACGGCGGGUGCUAACGUCCGUCGUGAAGAGGGAAACAACCCAGACCGCCAGCUAAGGUCCCA
rnacentral:rRNA from 1 species